rnacentral:snRNA from 1 species
AGAUGUGAAGAGAAAUAGAUCUGUUAACCUUGCAGACCGCCAAGGUGGUUUCAGUUGAUAUGGUUACUUAGGUGGUAUCCCCUUCCUCCAUCACUUCUGGAAGUUUCACCCUUAGCAGAUGAGACAUUUUCUCUAUAGAAAAGGUCUAACCCCUGCUCAAGGACAUAUGAGUAGCUGUGCUUCCUGGCUGGAAGUUCCAAAGAGGCUGUCAAGAUGGGCACAUGUCGCCGGGCGGUGGUGGCGCACGCCUUUAAUCCCAGCACUUGGGAGUCAGAGGCAGGCGGAUCUCUGUGAGUUCAAG